rnacentral:rRNA from 1 species
AUUGAACGCUGGCGGCAGGCCUAACACAUGCAAGUCGAGCGGAUGAAGGGAGCUUGCUCCUGGAUUCAGCGGCGGACGGGUGAGUAAUGCCUAGGAAUCUGCCUGGUAGUGGGGGAUAACGUCCGGAAACGGGCGCUAAUACCGCAUACGUCCUGAGGGAGAAAGUGGGGGAUCUUCGGACCUCACGCUAUCAGAUGAGCCUAGGUCGGAUUAGCUAGUUGGUGGGGUAAAGGCCUACCAAGGCGACGAUCCGUAACUGGUCUGAGAGGAUGAUCAGUCAGACGGGGAAUGAGACACGGGCGAGACAAAUACGGGAGGCAGCAGUGGGGAAUAUGGGGCGAUGGGCGAAAGCCGUACGGAGCAAUGACGCGUGAGGGAGGAAGGUGUUCGGAUCGUGAAGCUCUGUUAUUAGGGAAGAAGGAAAGUGGACGGAGAGAUGGACGGCGGGACGGGACCUAAUCAGAAAGCAACGGCGAACUACGUG